GUAAUGUUCUAUCAUAUUGUCUGUCACAUGGAAUUGUACUGGUCUACCUCCUUGUCUUUGCCCCACUAGCCCAUGGAGGCAACAAAGGCAUAUGCGACCUCUGCCUGCACAUAGGUGAUGUCCCACAAAUUUCUAAUGACUGAAUGAAAGGUCUACUAUUACUUUUUGUUUAAUAACUAUGUGAUAGUAAUGAUUAACUCAAGACGAGGGGCCAUGAGCAGUAUCCUGACCCCCACGUUUUCCCGAGGCCAGGGCCAGGAUAAGUGCUACAAGGCUGCCAUUAGAUGCAGAGUCUGGUGCCUGAGAUUAGGCUGGGGGCCAAGGCAGUGUGGAAGUUGGAGCAUCAUGGGCCCAGACUUGGGUAAGUCUAACACCUUAGCUAAGGUGUUACUUACUUAGGUAAGUCCUAACACCAGCUCUACUGCCUGGCUCUGCUUACUCUAUGCCUGCAGCACACAGACUAGAUGAGAUCAUGCAGAAGAUGUCGAGUGAGAAAGCCUGAGAGAGCCUUGAAUGAUCAGCAGAGGGAAAAGAAAAGCUCCUCUGAAAAAAGAAGCUGAAUAAAUAGAGAAAGAAAUAAGAAAAAAGUGAAGAAACAGAAGCAUGGAGAUUGAGUGACUUGACCAGUCAGAGUUAGAGAAGAGAUUGGAAUUCAGACCCAGGUCUCCCAUAGUCACCUGCCAGAAAUCAUUCUUCAUUCCAUGGAAAAUGGAGAAUUGGUGAUUUGCAAUUCUGUUAAGAACGAUUGGGAAAUCACGCACUUCCAAAGUCAUUGGAAGCCUCUGAAUUACCAUCCUUAAGGAAUAAAUCUUGUCCAAAUAAA
ensembl:lncRNA